GUUAUGCUGGGCACUUUUGAGAAAACUGCCGGUGACAAGCCGGAGGAAGGUGGGGAUGACGUCAAGUCCUCAUGGCCCUUACGGGCUGGGCUACACACGUGCUACAAUGGCGGUGACAGUGGGAUGCGAAGGGGCGACCCGGAGCCGAUCCCAAAAAGCCGUCCCAGUUCGGAUUGCACUCUGCAACUCGAGUGCAUGAAGGUGGAAUCUCUAGUAAUCGCGGAUCAGCAUGCCNCGGUGAAUACGUUNCCNGUCCUNGUACACACCGCCCGUCACNCCAUGGGAGUUGGUUCUACCCGAAGAUGGUGCACUAACCGCAAGGANNCAGCNANNNANNGUAGGAUCAAUNACUNNGNCGAAGUCGUAACAAGGUA
rnacentral:rRNA from 1 species